rnacentral:rRNA from 1 species
CCUACGGGUGGCAGCAGUCGAGAAUCAUUCACAAUGGGGGAAACCCUGAUGGUGCGACGCCGCGUGGGGGAAUGAAGGUCUUCGGAUUGUAAACCUCUGUCUUCGGUGACGAAACGAGACGGUAGCCGAGGAGGAAGCCACGGCUAACUACGUGCCAGCAGCCGCGGUAAUACGUAGGUGGCAAGCGUUGUCCGGAAUUACUGGGUGUAAAGGGAGCGUAGGCGGGAAAGCAAGUUGAAUGUUUAAGGUACGGGCUCAACCUGUACAAGCGUUCAAAACUGUUUUUCUUGAGUGGAGUAGAGGUAAGCGGAAUUCCUAGUGUAGCGGUGAAAUGCGUAAAUAUUAGGAGGAACACCAGUGGCGAAGGCGGCUUACUGGGCUUUAACUGACGCUGAGGCUCGAAAGCGUGGGUAGCAAACAGGAUUAGAUACCCCAGUAGUC